GAUCAUGGCUCAGGAUGAACGCUAGCUACAGGCUUAACACAUGCAAGUCGAGGGGCAGCAUGAACUUAGCUUGCUAAGUUUGAUGGCGACCGGCGCACGGGUGAGUAACACGUAUCCAACCUUCCCGUUACUCUGGGAUAGCCUUUCGAAAGAAAGAUUAAUACCGGAUAGUAUCGAGAGAUUGCAUGAUAACCCGAUUAAAGAUUCAUCGGUAACGGAGUGGGGAUGCGUUCCAUUAG
rnacentral:rRNA from 1 species